UACGUAGGUGGCAAGCGUUGUCCGGAUUUACUGGGCGUAAAGGGCGUGCAGGCGGUUUGUUAAGUGCAGGGUGAAAGCUCCCGGCUCAACUGGGAGAGGUCCUUGCAUACUGGCAAACUCGAGGGAGGCAGAGGAAAGUGGAAUUCCCGGUGUAGUGGUGAUAUGCGUAGAUAUCGGGAGGAACACCUGUGGCGAAGGCGGCUUUCUGGGCCGGAACUGACGCUGAGG
rnacentral:rRNA from 1 species